AUUUUGCCUGGCUCUACUAUUUUCAUUUUUUGUUUUUUUCUUUGUGAACGCAAUUCUGGUUCUUUUUAUUCCCAACAUAGGUGGUUUUUGUGGCUAUAGUUUACUUUUGUCGUUAGAGUUUGGAGUUUGAUUUGUUCUCCAGCAUGAAUUUAUUUCAUUACCUUGUGCAUAAUGGUCACCCAAGACAAAUUAAAUAUUCAUUAUUCCCCGAAAUGGAGUGAGCUAUCAUGUACCUGCUGAGAGCGCAUGACCUCUAUGUUGCAAGAUGGUGUCUAGAGUAUAUGAUAGUUGUUAUAUGCUAGUCGCGCUUUAGGAUAGCUGGUUUUCUGAGAAAUCCACCGGAGUGGAGCAAAUAUAUUUGGAAAUAGACUUGUAAAGUUUAUAUUUAUAUAUAUUGUUAGCCGUAAGGGUAAGGCUUUUACGGUAAUUUUGGUGGGAGAUACCGCAAGGUUUAUUAAGGAGUGUGGGUUUUUGGGAAUCUUCAAGUAGAAGUGGAGUUCUGACAAGAUUAACUUAUAAAGUCCUGGAAUCUGUCUGGUGUUUGAGUCUAAAAUUUUAUUUUAAAACUAAAGUUAACAUUUGUAAGUUUUAUUACACUGGGUAAAUGAGUAUUUUGUACGUAUUACUCUUGAAAAUAAUUGUACUAUGCGGUAUUUUAUACUUUGAAUCGUAAUAUUUUAUUUUAAGUACAGUCUAACUUUAUCCUAAGGAACUCGGCAAAUUUGCCUCGCACCUGUUUAUCAAAGACACCGCGGGUUGAAUAUUAUAAUUCGUUUUGUCUGCCCGGUGCUGCGGGGUAAACGGCGGCUUUAAUCGUCCUAAGGUAUCGUAACUAUGCCUCUUAAUUGGAGGCCAAAGAAUGGCUAGAUGACGGGGCUACUGUCUCGGGGUUAAAAAUAAAAUUUGAAUUGUAGGUGAGCAUGCCUUUAUUUUUGCGCGGGAAAAAAAGACCCUAUGAAGUCUUUACUCUUGGUUUACUCUUUUUCAAUUAUAAAAUUAUAUUUUAAGUUGCCCCUAAGGGUUUACAUAAGAGUUCUGCUUGGGAAUGCAGUGAUACAUAAGAAUCUCUUCCUGUCUUUGGGGCCUUCGUGUCCCGAUAACAGCUUAGCACAUGUAACUUGUGUAAGCUAAAGAAUUACUAGUCAUAUCAAUGAGCCAUAGUCUUUACUGAUUAUCUGACUAAAGGAGCAGGGUUACUCUAGGGAUAACCAGAGAUCGUCGCAUGGAUAGGACACAUUGAAGUGCGGGUAGAUUACCUCGAUGUUGGCUCAGGGAAACUGAACUGGUAGCAGGAGCUGUUCAAGUGGGACUGUUCGUCCUUUAAUUCCCCACGUGAGCUGAGUUCAGACCGUUGUAAGACCAGGUUGGCUUCUAUCUGCGAAUUAGUCCCAGAUUGUACGCAAGGACUUCCGGGGCGGAACUUAUGUUUUUUUAGAUCCUAGAAUAUAUUCUAAGAUUUUAGUGU
rnacentral:rRNA from 1 species